AAACAGAAAAAAGGGUUAAACGUUUCAUUAAAACAUGUGCUGUAUAUUAUGGUAACCCUCUAUUGUGUAUGUUUUAUUCUUGAAGUGCAUUAAGGUAUAUUGGGGUACAAUAGGUUAUACUGGGAUUCAUUGAGGUAAACUGGAGUACACUGCGGUACAUUGGGGUAUACUGAGGUAUAUUGGCAUAUAUUGACAAACAUUGAAAUACAUUGGGGUAUACUGAGGUAUAUUGGCGUAUAUUGACAUAUUGACAAACAUUGAAAUACAUUGGGGUAUAGUGAGGUAUAUUGGCGUAUAUUGACAUAUUGACAAACAUUGAAAUACAUUGGGGUAUAGUGAGGUAUAUUGGCGUAUAUUGACAUAUUGACAAACAUUGAAAUACAUUGGGGUAUAGUGAGGUAUAUUGGCGUAUAUUGACAUAUUGACAACAUUGAAAUACAUUGGGGUAUAGUGAGGUAUAUUGGCAUAUAUUGACAUAUUGACAACAUUGAAAUACAUUGGGGUAUAGUGAGGUAUAUUGGCGUAUAUUGACAUAUUGACAAACAUUGAAAUACAUUGGGGUAUAGUGAGGUAUAUUGGCGUAUAUUGACAUAUUGACAACAUUGAAAUACAUUGGGGUAUGGUGAGGUAUAUUGGCAUAUAUUGACAUAUUGACAACAUUGAAAUACAUUGGGGUAUAGUGAGGUAUAUUGGCAUAUAUUGACAUAUUGACAACAUUGAAAUACAUUGGGGUAUAGUGAGGUAUAUUGGCAUAUAUUGACAUAUUGACAACAUUGAAAUACAUUGGGGUAUGGUGAGGUAUAUUGGCAUAUAUUGACAUAUUGACAACAUUGAAAUACAUUGGGGUAUGGUGAGGUAUAUUGGCGUAUAUUGACAUAUUGACAACAUUGAAAUACAUUGGGGUAUGGUGAGGUAUAUUGGCGUAUAUUGACAUAUUGACAACACUGAAAUACACUGGGGUAUAGUGAGGUAUAUUGGCGUAUAUUGACAUAUUGACAACAUUGAAAUACAUUGGGGUAUACUGCCCUACAAAAGCUAAGUGCAGUAACUACGCAAACAAAGAAAUAGAGAAAAAGGCCUUUAAAGUUUUUAUACCAGCCAGUCAAACAUGUUAUGGGUAGAUUAGUGGUAAUGCAUUUAUGUAAAGCCUUCUUAGGAAGACAUUUUUUAUAGAUAAAAAACAUGACCACUGAUGUGACCUUUGACCCCUAAAAUGCAGAUACUGCACUUUUAAAUAGCUUUAAUAGCUUUAUUGAUGUUUGCAAGUUGUAAUGUUGAAAUUGCUCACUAGUAAGGCUCAUGAUUUAAGAAUAAUCUUUUAUCACAAUGCCCCUUUUACCACAAAGAGUGGUUCAUCUGCAGUGUCAAACCCGGGAAAACAACCCCAGAAUGCAGUAACUUCACUUACUGCGGUUUGCCUUGGUAUUACCUUGGAUUUUGUAGUUACUGCAAUUUUGACACACUUGUUUCUCCAAAACGGGACAUAAUUUAACCCAGAUAUUUUUUCACAAGACAGAACACAUAUCAUAAAGCCCAUUAGAAGUCUUAACUCAUUUUUGACCAACUGCACUUUGCCUUUGUAGGGCAGUAUAGUGAGGUAUAUUGGCAUUAUAUUGAUGUAUUGACAAACAUUGAAAUACAUUGGGGAACAUUGAGGUAUAUUAUGAAAUAAAAUAAAAAAGGGUUAAGACAUUUUACUAUGUAGAAAUUUAAAAGGCAACUUUAAUGUUUGAAAUGAAUGAAAAAG